rnacentral:rRNA from 1 species
UUUGAUUGGUGCCUUCGGGAAUCUAGAUACAGGUGCUGCAUGGCUGUCGUCAGCUCGUGUCAUGAGAUGUUGGGUUAAGUCCCGCAACGAGCGCAACCCUUUUCCUUACUUGCCAGCAUUUCGGAUGGGAACUUUAAGGAUACUGCCAGUGACAAACUGGAGGAAGGCGGGGACGACGUCAAGUCAUCAUGGCCCUUACGGCCAGGGCUACACACGUGCUACAAUGGUCGGUACAAAGGGUUGCUACACAGCGAUGUGAUGCUAAUCUCAAAAAGCCGAUCGUAGUCCGGAUUGGAGUCUGCAACUCGACUCCAUGAAGUCGGAAUCGCUAGUAAUCGCGGAUCAGAAUGCCGCGGUGAAUACGUUCCCGGGCCUUGUACACACCGCCCGUCACACCAUGGGAGUUUGUUGCACCAGAAGUAGCUAGCCUAACUGCAAAGAGGGCGGUUACCACGGUGUGGCCGAUGACUGGGGUGAAGUCGUAACAAGGUAGCCGUAGGGGAACCUGCGGCUGGAUCACCUCCUUA